UAUUUUUGUUUCAGGAGGAGCCUCUAAGUAGAUUCUCAAAUUAUUGGUAUUGGCUUCAAAGAUUAUCUUGCUGCAAGAGGGAAGCACUAACAGGAGUUUCAUGCACUCUCACGGAGAAGGAAGACGGAGGAAGGCAAGAAGGCAGAAGAAGAGCAGAUGAAGCGUUACCUGUCAAGUGGAAGUCGAGGUCUUACCUUCAUUGCUCUUGGAUACUGCUGAAUGACAUGGAGAGAGCUUCAAGGAUGAAGAUGAACCAAUUCCACAAAACGUGUGAGGCCAUGAAACAAUGUCCAACUCGAGCGGAAUGAAUCACUGUUGAUAGGGUCAUAGAUGAAAGGGAAACUGAACACACCAAGGAGUAUCUUGUCAAGUGGAAGGAGCUUGGGUAUGGGAAUAUGUCAAAGCAUGUUCUAUAGUAUAUAGUGUAUUCUAGGGUUUCAAAGUUCCUUUCUUUUGUUCACAACCUCUCCUCUGCAUUUUUGGUGCACCACAGGGUAGAGUGUCACCAUAGUUUAGUAGGAGCCAAAUUAAUGUCUCAAGUGGUCAAA